GAGGAACUGAACAGCAAAAGAUUCUAUAUGUGACUGUUUAAUCAUGCCAUGUACAAAAGAAGCCUUGGAACUAUCUGAAUUUCAAAGAGGCCGUAUUGUGGGUUAUUCUGAAGGUGGAUAUAGUCAGUGUAAAAUCUCAGAAAACCUUGGGAUCCCGCUUUGUACAGUUAAUAGAGCGAUUGUGCAAUUCACCAUAGAGGGGAAGGAGUUGACAUCACCGUGUCCAAAUCAACCAGCGCCCUCUAACAGGACCCUUCUCUUUGCUAAGAGAAGUGUGGAGGAUAAUCCUCAUUGCAAGACCUGACAAAGCAGCGCAAGUUGAUGUCAGUCCCAGAACAACUGUCAGGUAUCUCCACAAACUUGGUUACUAUGGUAGAGUAGGAAGAAGGAAGCCACAUCUUUGACCAGCCAACAUGAAGCAGAGAAAAGAUUGGGCCAGUGAGAUGGUGGAGAGGCCAUUAGCAUUUUGGGACACUGCCAUGUUCUCUGAUGAGCCCAGAUUUGC